GAACUCAGACUAAUCGAACACACCGUCAUUAUUACGUUCCUUUGGGAAAUUCUUGAGUAGAUACUAACCACCCAAUGAAAUCAGCAUAAUGUCGUGCGAUACAGGUAAUUACAGCCUAAUUGGAAUCUUAACUCAUAAGACACACGUGAAAGACGGAUAAGUUUAUGAAUGAAUAAAUAGAUAACUUUUUUUAAUCUGAGGGCAUGUGGACCAUCAAGGACGUGUUUG
rnacentral:lncRNA from 1 species